GACGAACGCUGGCGGCGUGCUUAACACAUGCAAGUCGAGCGGAAAGGCCCUUCGGGGUACUCGAGCGGCGAACGGGUGAGUAACACGUGAGUAACCUGCCCCAGACUUUGGGAUAACCCUCGGAAACGGGGGCUAAUACCGGAUACGACACAGCUUCGCAUGGGGUCUGUGUGGAAAGUGUUUCGGUUUGGGAUGGGCUCGCGGCCUAUCAGCUUGUUGGUGGGGUGAUGGCCUACCAAGGCGACGACGGGUAGCCGGCCUGAGAGGGCGACCGGCCACACUGGGACUGAGACACGGCCCAGACUCCUACGGGAGGCAGCAGUGGGGAAUAUUGCACAAUGGGCGGAAGCGUGAUGCAGCGACGCCGCGUGAGGGAUGACGGCCUUCGGGUUGUAAACCUCUUUCAGCAGGGACGAAGCGUAAGUGACGGUACCUGCAGAAGAAGCGCCGGCCAACUACGUG
rnacentral:rRNA from 1 species